rnacentral:rRNA from 1 species
UAGAGAGUUGAUUCGGGCUCCGGCCCGAUCCUCCCACCCUUUGUGUACCUACCUCUGUUGCUUUGGCGGGCCGCGGUCCUCCGCGGCCGCCCCCCUCCCCGGGGGGUGGCCAGCGCCCGCCAGAGGACCAUCAAACUCCAGUCAGUAAACGAUGCAGUCUGAAAAACAUUUAAUAAACUAAAACUUUCAACAACGGAUCUCUUGGUUCUGGCAUCGAUGAAGAACGCAGCGAAAUGCGAUAAGUAAUGUGAAUUGCAGAAUUCAGUGAAUCAUCGAAUCUUUGAACGCACAUUGCGCCCUUUGGUAUUCCGAAGGGCAUGCCUGUUCGAGCGUCAUUACAACCCUCAAGCUCUGCUUGGUAUUGGGCACCGUCCUUUGCGGGCGCGCCUCAAAGACCUCGGCGGUGGCGUCUUGCCUCAAGCGUAGUAGAACAUACAUCUCGCUUCGGAGCGCAGGGCGUCGCCCGCCGGACGAACCUUCUGAACUUUUCUCAAGGUUGACCUCGGAUCAGGUAGGGAUACCCGCUGAACUUAAGCAUAUCAA